UGGGGAAUAUUGCGCAAUGGCCGAAAGGCUGACGCAGCGACGCCGCGUGGGGGAUGAAGCAUUUCGGUGUGUAAACCCCUGUUGCCCGGGACGAACAAGCAGAUUUUUCUGCUCUGACGGUACCGGGUGAGGAAGCACCGGCUAACUCCGUGCCGGCAGCCGCGGUAAUACGGAGGGUGCGAGCGUUGUCCGGAAUCACUGGGCGUAAAGGGCGCGUAGGCGGUCUGCUAAGCGUGCGGUGAAAGCCCGGGGCUCAACCCCGGGUCUGCCGUUCGAACUGGUGGACUAGAGCACUGUAGAGGCAGGUGGAAUUCCGGGUGUAGCGGUGGAAUGCGUAGAGAUCCGGAAGAACACCGGUGGCGAAGGCGGCCUGCUGGGCAGUAGCUGACGCUGAGGCGCGACAGCGUGGGGAGCAAACA
rnacentral:rRNA from 1 species